rnacentral:rRNA from 1 species
GACGAACGCUGGCGGCGUGCUUAACACAUGCAAGUCGAACGGAAAGGCCCCCUUGUGGGGUACUCGAGUGGCGAACGGGUGAGUAACACGUGAGUAACCUACCCUUGACUUUGGGAUAACUUCAGGAAACUGGGGCUAAUACCGGAUAGGAGCUCCUGCUGCAUGGUGGGGGUUGGAAAGUUUCGGCGGUUGGGAUGGACUCGCGGCUUAUUAGCUUGUUGGUGGGGUAGUGGCUCACCAAGGCUUUGACGGGUAGCCGGCCUGAGAGGGUGACCGGCCACAUUGGGACUGAGAUACGGCCCAGACUCCUACGGGAGGCAGCAGUGGGGAAUAUUGCACAAUGGGCGGAAGCCUGAUGCAGCAACGCCGCGUGCGGGAUGACGGCCUUCGGGUUGUAAACCGCUUUCGCCUGUGACGAAGCGUGAGUGACGGUAAUGGGUAAAGAAGCACCGGCUAACUACGUG